UCCGGGAUUGUGUAAUGGCAGCACAAGGGAAUUUGGAUCCCUCAGUCUAGGUUCGAAUCCUAGUCCCGGAG
rnacentral:tRNA from 1 species